UCACCCGUGGCCUAGUGGUUAGCGCUGCUGUUUUUUAAACAUUGAACGCGGGUUCAAUCCCAACUGGGGUCA